AAAAACAUGGCCUUUUGAAUAAAAUUGAUAAAAGGUCGGACCUGCCCGGUGAAUAAUUUAACGGCUGCGGUUAUGUACUAAGGUAGCAUGAUAGGUUGCCCUUUAAUUGGGGGCUGGUACGAAUGGUUUGACGGUGGAAUAACUAUGUUUAAAACAUUUAGAGAAGUUGAUUUUUAAGUGAAAAAGCUUAAAUUUUUGUAAAAGAAGAGAAGACCCUAUCGAGCUUAAUUAUUAACAUUUGUUGGUUUAGAUUUAAUUUGGGUUAUAGUAGAAUGCUAGACAUGAUGCUUGUUGAGAAGUUUUGAUGGGGAAGACAAAAAACAAAACGUUUUUAUUUUAAUAUUAGGAUCCAGUUUGAUUGAAAUUAGCAGAAGCUACCGUAGGGAUAACAGGGUAAUAUUUUUCUGAGAGAUCGAAUUGAAGAAGAAGAUUACUACCUCGAUGUUGGAUUAGAGUUUCUUUAUGCUUGCAGGCGGUAUAAGA
rnacentral:rRNA from 1 species